AGUGAACCUUCUGACUUGCUUUCUCUCUUACAUGCCUUGAGUGUAGGACCGUUGGUAUCUUAAUUACCCUCCCACACCCAAGGCUUGCAGGAGGGCAAGCCACCUCCUUCCUCUCCUAU
rnacentral:pre_miRNA from 12 species